AAUUUGUCAACACCUACUUCCCAGAGCACUACUAGCAGAAUGGCCACUGGGAAAUAUAAUUUAUGGGAGAGACGAAAACACAUAUAUGCACCCCCAACAUACCCUUUGUCACUUUAUGUUGCCUCAUCAUUGUCUGUUGUCUGGUUAUCACUCUGGGAACCCUGAGGGGGAAAGAGUCUGGAAUUUGGGGUUAUCCCAAAUACUUCAUAAGGUCAAGCUCUUAACAGGUAAUUUCUAGUAUUACUUCUACAUAUGGCAUUCUUUCUCAUUAUACUCUUAUACUCUCCUCAUGUACCCCAGGAAAACGUUCAGGGAUUUUCUGUUUUGCUUGCUGCUAUAACCCCAAUGUCUAAGUAGUACAUGGCACAGAGUAGGUGUUCAAUAAAUAUUUGUGGGAUGAGUGAAGGGUUGAUCACAUCUGCUGUGGUGGAUUUAUCCAGGUCAGCUCUCAGAGGGGAUCUUAUUUCCCUUACCUCCAGGUGGUCGCAGAGCAGCACACGGAAGCUGAUGUGUUGUCCACAGCACGCGCCAGCUCAGAGGACUUGCUGGAGGGCCACAGCUUUAUCCCCAUUGGUUGAGGAUCUCAUGGAAAGAUAGUCGACUCUACCAGAGGGAAGGCACAGCCAACAGCUGUCACUCGCCCUCGCAGCCUCCAAAUACCGCAAGUGGCCCAGCUCUACCUGGAAGGAUGUAUGUAUGAAUGUGAGUGACUCUGUACUACUGUGGCUAGAGGCAAAAGCCACACCCUGGAGCCUUUUAAUAAACAGAUGACAAGUCCAAACUUUGUCA
rnacentral:lncRNA from 1 species